UGGAUCCAGACUUUGAUCCUGGCUCAGGACGAACGCUGGCGGCGUGCCUAACACAUGCAAGUCGAACGAGAAAUCCUUGUGUGAACCCUUCGGGGGGAACUUUAGGAUGGAAAGUGGCGGACGGGCGAGUAACGCGUGAGUAACCUGCCCAUAAGAGGGGGAUAAUCCUUGGAAACGAGGACUAAUACCGCAUAUUGAAGCGAAAUCGCAUGGUUUUGCUUUGAAAGAUUUAUCGCUUAUGGAUGGACUCGCGUCAGAUUAGCUGGUUGGUGAGGUAACGGCUCACCAAGGCGACGAUCUGUAGCCGAACUGAGAGGUUGAUCGGCCGCAUUGGGACUGAGACACGGCCCAGACUCCUACGGGAGGCAGCAGUGGGGAAUAUUGCGCAAUGGGGGAAACCCUGACGCAGCAACGCCGCGUGCAGGAAGAAGGUCUUCGGAUUGUAAACUGUUGUCGCAGGGGAAGAAGACAGUGACGGUACCCUGUGAGAAAGUCACGGCUAACUACGUGCCAGCAGCCGCGGUAAUACGUAGGUGACAAGCGUUGUCCGGAUUUACUGGGUGUAAAGGGCGCGUAGGCGGACUGUCAAGUCAGUCGUGAAAUACCGGGGCUUAACCCCGGGGCUGCGAUUGAAACUGACAGCCUUGAGUAUCGGAGAGGAAAGCGGAAUUCCUAGUGUAGCGGUGAAAUGCGUAGAUAUUAGGAGGAACACCAGUGGCGAAGGCGGCUUUCUGGACGACAACUGACGCUGAGGCGCGAAAGUGUGGGGAGCAAACAGGAUUAGAUACCCUGGUAGUCCACACCGUAAACGAUGGAUACUAGGUGUAGGAGGUAUCGACCCCUUCUGUGCCGCAGUUAACACAAUAAGUAUCCCACCUGGGGAGUACGACCGCAAGGUUGCAACUCAAAUGAAUUGACGGA
rnacentral:rRNA from 1 species